UUUAGAUGUGUAUAUCGGGAUUGCAUGCUGAGGCGUCUGUGUGCGCGCGCUUCGGAUCUGUCAGUCAGCACGAGUAAGAUCGAUUUGUUUACAUCAGCAUGAGUUUGAAAAUCACACUUCAUUGGUUCAGACUCUUGCCAAUCAAAAUUCGCUAUGGAUAUUCACAAAGUUGGAACGCUGUGCUUUAAAAUGAUACCAAACUUGUGCUGAGGGAAAGCGCGAGUGGUGAAGCGAGCAGAGGAAAAACAGCAUUUUUCAUGGACAAAGGAAAGCAGGAGGACCUUCUGCACCAGUCAGUUGGAUGUCACCAGUGUCAGUUGGAUGAAGGUGAUUGGCACUGCUGUCAGCUCCAUUUGGAGCACAGAGCUGGCCUUGAUGAGCGUGUGAGUGGGACGGUUCACGUACUCUGACUUCUUUCACACCCGUGGGUGUCACACCUGCGUACCCAACUCGAGAGUGAAACAUUACUGAUUGCGGACUUUUUUUCUCCCUGAUGUACAGAGCGACUGUCACCUCGGUGACAUGAGAAUGAAUCCUCUCUAUCUGUCCUGUAAUCAAACUCUUUGAGCUCCUGCUGCUGUUCUUGAUUUUGUAAUUGGGUGAUUUGAUUGCAAUUGUUAUACUUUUGAUUAAAAAUUUUAAAAAGAGUUUGCCCCCACAUUGUUUGUGCUAUAUGGACAUAACUGAUACCUCAAAUCAUGUGGCUCAAUGAGAAGAGGUGUAUUAUUACAGUACUUUUCUAAUCGAUUCUCCUUCGUUUUUCAUCUGCCAAACAAUAAAAAAGAUGAAGCACUCUGA